rnacentral:rRNA from 1 species
UAGUGGCGAACGGGUGAGUAACACGUGGGCAAUCUGCCCUUCACUCUGGGACAAGCCCUGGAAACGGGGUCUAAUACCGGAUAACACUGCGGAUCUCAUGGUCUGCGGUUAAAAGCUCCGGCGGUGAAGGAUGAGCCCGCGGCCUAUCAGCUUGUUGGUGAGGUAAUGGCUCACCAAGGCGACGACGGGUAGCCGGCCUGAGAGGGCGACCGGCCACACUGGGACUGAGACACGGCCCAGACUCCUACGGGAGGCAGCAGUGGGGAAUAUUGCACAAUGGGCGAAAGCCUGAUGCAGCGACGCCGCGUGAGGGAUGACGGCCUUCGGGUUGUAAACCUCUUUCAGCAGGGAAGAAGCGAAAGUGACGGUACCUGCAGAAGAAGCGCCGGCUAACUACGUGCCAGCAGCCGCGGUAAUACGUAGGGCGCAAGCGUUGUCCGGAAUUAUUGGGCGUAAAGAGCUCGUAGGCGGCUUGUCACGUCGAUUGUGAAAGCCCGAGGCUUAACCUCGGGUCUGCAGUCGAUACGGGCUAGCUAGAGUGUGGUAGGGGAGAUCGGAAUUCCU